rnacentral:lncRNA from 1 species
GUAGGGUUUCUUUGGUGAUCCAUCCGUCAUUUGCAAGGAAAUCUUUGUCGGCUUCAAUCUAAGACCACCAAUCUUUUCAGCAUAGAUAGGGGCAUCAGAUUAAUGCUUGACCCUAAAUCGAGUAGGGCUUUCCCUAUCUUCACACUCCCAAUGGUGCAAGGAAUUGUAAAAGCUCCUGGAUCUUUCACUUUUGGAGGAUAUGAUUUCUUUAAGAAGUCACUGCAACUUCCCUGUUCAUCAGUAACUUCCUUAUCUAAACCUAUCUUUUCUCGAAGGUACUACUUUAUACGCCUUGCAUAGACAAGAAUUUGUUGGAGUGCUUCAGUCAAUGGUAUAGUAAUCUCCAAUUGCUUGAAGAUUUCUCUAAAACGCUCACAUUUUCUCUCUACUCUCUUACGCCCCUUUGGGUAAGGAAGAAUUCUCUCAUCUUUUUCAUUUUUUUUCUUCUUUUUCAAUUUUUUUAUCUCCACUCUUCUUCUCGCCUUUUUCCAACUCUCCCUUACAUAUUUUCUCUUCUAUUUCUUCUAUCCUCUAUAACUCAACACUAUCUUUUUCCUCUUUUAGUCUUUCCUCAACAACACUCAUUACAACCUUACAAUCUUCUUUAGGGUUAAUCUCAGUAUUAGUCCCAAAUUGAUUAUCUGCUUUAUCCUUCAGCCUCUUAGCUAUUUGGCCCAUCUGCAUCUCCAA